GACGAACGCUGGCGGCGUGCCUAAUACAUGCAAGUCGAACGCUUCUUUCCUCCCGAGUGCUUGCACUCAAUUGGAAAGAGGAGUGGCGGACGGGUGAGUAACACGUGGGUAACCUACCCAUCAGAGGGGGAUAACACUUGGAAACAGGUGCUAAUACCGCAUAACAGUUUAUGCCGCAUGGCAUAAGAGUGAAAGGCGCUUUCGGGUGUCGUUGAUGGAUGGACCCGCGGUGCAUUAGCUAGUUGGUGAGGUAACGGCUCACCAAGGCCACGAUGCAUAGCCGACCGGAGAGGGUGAUCGGCCACACUGGGACUGAGACACGGCCCAGACUCCUACGGGAGGCAGCAGUAGGGAAUCUUCGGCAAUGGACGAAAGUCUGACCGAGCAACGCCGCGUGAGUGAAGAAGGUUUUCGGAUCGUAAAGCUCUGUUGUUAGAGAAGAACAAGGACGUUAGUAACUGAACGUCCCCUGACGGUAUCUAACCAGAAAGCCACGGCUAACUACGUG
rnacentral:rRNA from 1 species